GGUUAUGGAUCGGCUCACGGCCUAUCAGCUUGUUGGUGAGGUAAUGGCUCACCAAGGCGACGACGGGUAGCCGGCCUGAGAGGGUGACCGGCCACACUGGGACUGAGACACGGCCCAGACUCCUACGGGAGGCAGCAGUGGGGAAUAUUGCACAAUGGGCGAAAGCCUGAUGCAGCAACGCCGCGUGAGGGAUGACGGCCUUCGGGUUGUAAACCUCUUUUAGUAGGGAAGAAGCGAAAGUGACGGUACCUGCAGAAAAAGCACCGGCUAACUACGUGCCAGCAGCCGCGGUAAUACGUAGGGUGCAAGCGUUGUCCGGAAUUAUUGGGCGUAAAGAGCUCGUAGGCGGUUUGUCGCGUCUGCUGUGAAAUCCCGAGGCUCAACCUCGGGUCUGCAGUGGGUACGGGCAGACUAGAGUGUGGUAGGGGAGAUUGGAAUUCCUGGUGUAGCGGUGGAAUGCGCAGAUAUCAGGAGGAACACCGAUGGCGAAGGCAGAUCUCUGGGCCAUUACUGACGCUGAGGAGCGAAAGCAUGGGGAGCGAACAGGAUUAGAUACCCUGGUAGUCCAUGCCGUAAACGUUGGGCGCUAGAUGUGGGGACCAUUCCACGGUUUCCGUGUCGUAGC
rnacentral:rRNA from 1 species